UACGAAGUUGAAGCUUAAAGAGUAUAUUGAUACUCUUUUAGAUUCAAUCUCAGUGGCUUAGCCCUCUUUUGAACAUGCUCAGCAAAUUAUGCUCAUUCUUCAACAGAUUUUGACAUCAUUGGCAAAGACGAAUAUGGGUAAAUAUUUACCUUUUCCUUAUGUAAUCUUGUAUCAUUCGUUACAGUAUCCGUGGAUGUAUUCAAUUGUAUAAUUUUGAUCUAUGGAACAAGAAUAUCAUACAUAAUUUCUGAUAUUCCAACGGCCACAAUUGGUUUUUCAUUUCAUUUGCUUAUUUUCCUAGUUGCAAUUGGCAUCAGAUUCUUUUUGUAGAACUCCAAUUCUCUCAAGUGAACAUCGAGGAGAAAGAGUACGUGAACGCUAGUUGGACAAUUGUUCACUUUUGUUUCUAAUUGUGGUUGCAUUAUGAUGUAUUUCCUGUUAAGCGUAAAUGUAAAUAUAAAAUGCUUUCUGAAACUCCAUUAAUUAUUUAAUGAAUUCUUAUAUUCAUUAUUUUUAAGGUUAAUUUUCUAUACCACCAUGUGAAGAAAAAGAGAAAUAAUACCUUUAAUACUUUAACAUUUUAACCCAAUAAUUAUUUUUUUUCAAUUUAACCCUUAAAAAUUUACUUUUUAAAAUUUGGCCUCCGCGAAUUAUACUCCAAUCUCGGAUUUACCCCUACAAAUGUUUAUGGCAGACCAAAUGAUGUUUUGCAAGGCAUGCUUUAUUUAUUUAUUUUUAUUUUUAUUUUUCAAUACACAAAAAUAAAACUUGAUCAUUGAGUAUUUGAGUCGGUUGAGAUACAUCAAUGGUUUCUUCAUUUUUGAGAAUUUCUUUUAAGUUUCCUUAAUUAGUAUUUAUAUACAUCGUGGUUGAAUUGUUAUCAGGAAACUUUAUUUCACUUGUUUCCCAUAUUAAUCGGGAGGAAUUGCAGACGUUAAUUGUCUAGGAAAAUUUGAUAUAAGCUCUGAGUUUUUGAUAAAUUAAAUAUUUCGGAAGUAGGUCUACAUAAUUUUUGUAGUGAUGUUGAUGGAAUGAAUGGUAUUUGUAAUUUCUGGUUCAUACAUUGGAAAAUGUAAUUUCUGAUACAUACUCCAGUUUGUACCAUUUUGGGAGGAGCUCAGUUUAAUGUAAUGUACUGGUUUCCAAAAUGGCGUCUGUUCGUUAUUUUAGGAAUACGGAGACAGAUUGACCGUCGUAAAGAUUGAUCAUGACGCAAACCCACAACUAAUAGAGGAAUACAAAGUUUAUGGAUUGCCGACCUUGAUUCUCUUCAAGAAUGGACAGGAAGUUCCGGAAAGCAGGAGGGAAGGUGCAAUUACGAAGUUGAAGCUUAAAGAGUAUAUUGAUACUCUUUUAGAUUCAAUCUCAGUGGCUUAGCCCUCUUUUGAACAUGCUCAGCAAAUUAUGCUCAUUCUUCAACAGAUUUUGACAUCAUUGGCAAAGACGAAUAUGGGUAAAUAUUUACCUUUUCCUUAUGUAAUCUUGUAUCAUUCGUUACAGUAUCCGUGGAUGUAUUCAAUUGUAUAAUUUUGAUCUAUGGAACAAGAAUAUCAUACAUAAUUUCUGAUAUUCCAACGGCCACAAUUGGUUUUUCAUUUCAUUUGCUUAUUUUCCUAGUUGCAAUUGGCAUCAGAUUCUUUUUGUAGAACUCCAAUUCUCUCAAGUGAACAUCGAGGAGAAAGAGUACGUGAACGCUAGUUGGACAAUUGUUCACUUUUGUUUCUAAUUGUGGUUGCAUUAUGAUGUAUUUCCUGUUAAGCGUAAAUGUAAAUAUAAAAUGCUUUCUGAAACUCCAUUAAUUAUUUAAUGAAUUCUUAUAUUCAUUAUUUUUAA
rnacentral:lncRNA from 1 species